AUAUACCUGAUCUUAAAUAUGAUCAAAAUCUUUACGGAGUCGAGAGAAAUGAUUAAAUGAAAUAAAAAAUAAAACAGAUUGAUACUAAAACCUGUAGUUCUAGAAAUAUUGUCAUGAUUUACGCCAAGUACUUUUAAAAGUCAGUCAAUUUUAAAUACUUGUUAAUUCAUUCCAUCAAGGGGAGUUUUAUCAGAUUUCCAAUAGAUGUAUCAAAAUUUGAACACUCCAAAAUUAAAGCUAUUUUAUUUAUUUUUUAAACUUUAAUUAUAAAAAAGAAAGUAUUGCACAAUAUGAGAUGUAAAAGGCACAUAAAACAAGAAAGACAAGAAUAGAUUGUAGCAAAAAAAUAAUAUCUAUAGACAAGGUCACAACCAAACAAAAAUAUAUCUCAAUAAUGUUUAUAUUAACAAGAGUUGACACACUAAUAGCCUUACUUAUUGCAAUAUCAAACCGGUAUUUUUUUUCUUCAACAGGGCAAUACAUUCUCGAAACUGGGGAAAACGUUAAAUUCACUAAUGCAUACAAUUAUUUAAGUAUAAAUGAAUUCCAAUGCAAACUAUCUCUAAAGCAUCAUGUAUGAUUUGGUCAAAGGUAAGAUUAAAACUCGUACCUAAAAAAUUAAUAAGAAACAUUACAACAAUUACUGCUGCACACAUACAACCAAUCACUGUACUAUAGAUUCAAAAUGUUUCGUGGAAUACCAAUUUUCAAGGAUUUCUUGGGCAAAGGAAAAUUUUGAAUCAAAAUGUUCAACGAAGUACACAUUAUUAUAUGCAAGCUGAAGACUUUGGCACUUCUACGAAAUCAAACAUCUAUGAAAAUACAAUUUAUCUCAAAUCCACAAAAAUAAAUGAAUUCACAAUAAAUAACUGGUGAAGAAGAUCAUGUUUAUUGCGAAUAAAGGUUUAAAUCCAAAGAAUUUCAUAACAGCAAUAAUAGCAGAAACUGCUUAAAAAAAUAUAUUAGUUUUGGCUUGAUGACACUAUUUGGCUUGAGCAUCAUAAUAGUAUUGUUAUAACAGAAAUUAGUAAUAUUAAAGCAAAAAAAAGCUAAAUUCAGGGACAAUUUAAAUACAUUUACAUAAUAGAGCAUGUAUAUUAGUUAUUUAUAAUAAAAACACUUUGGCAGCAAAUGGAUGAAAGCAAGAUACUUUAAUACCUUUUAGAAUAAAGGUUGUGUAUUUCUCACAUUCAAAAGUAUAACAAAACAAAGAUUAUUUGUACUUGUCCAUCUUAAUGAAUUAACUGCUAUUUCAUGACUGAUUGAUCCAUAAAAAUUAAAAGAUUUUUACCCUAACCCAAACUGUUAUGUUUUAUCAAAUAUCAGAUUCAAAAUUUGUUAUAUAAUUAUG
rnacentral:lncRNA from 1 species